rnacentral:rRNA from 1 species
GAUGAACGCUGGCGGCGUGCCUAAUACAUGCAAGUCGAGCGAACGGACGAGAAGCUUGCUUCUCUGAUGUUAGCGGCGGACGGGUGAGUAACACGUGGAUAACCUACCUAUAAAACUGGGAUAACUUCGGGAAACCGGAGCUAAUACCGGAUAAUAUUUUGAACCGCAUGGUUCAAAAGUGAAAGACGGUCUUGCUGUCACUUAUAGAUGGAUCCGCGCUGCAUUAGCUAGUUGGUAAGGUAACGGCUUACCAAGGCAACGAUGCAUAGCCGACCUGAGAGGGUGAUCGGCCACACUAGAACUGAGCCACGGUCCAGACUCCUACGGGAGGCAGCAGUAGGGAAUCUUCCGCAAUGGGCGAAAGCCUGACGGAGCAACGCCGCGUGAGUGAUGAAGGUCUUCGGAUCGUAAAACUCUGUUAUUAGGGAAGAACAUAUGUGUAAGUAACUGUGCACAUCUUGACGGUACCUAAUCAGAAAGCCACGGCUAACUACGUG